rnacentral:rRNA from 1 species
GACGAACGCUGGCGGCGUGCUUAACACAUGCAAGUCGAACGGAAAGGCCCUGCUUUUGUGGGGUGCUCGAAUGGCGAACGGGUGAGUAACACGUGAGUAACCUGCCCUUGACUUUGGGAUAACUUCAGGAAACUGGGGCUUAUACCGGAUAGGAGCUCCUGCUGCCUGGUUGGGGUUGGAAAGUUUCGGCGGUUGGGGAUGGACUCGCGGCUUAUCAGCUUGUUGGGGGGGUAGUGGCUUACCAAGGCUUUGACGGGUAGCCGGCCUGAGAGGGUGACCGGCCACAUUGGGACUGAGAUAAGGCCCAGACUCCUACGGGAGGCAGCAGUGGGGAAUAUUGCACAAUGGGCGGAAGCCUGAUGCAGCAACGCCGCGUGCGGGAUGACGGCCUUCGGGUUGUAAACCGCUUUCGCCUGUGACGAAGCGUGAGUGACGGUAAUGGGUAAAGAAGCACCGGCUAACUACGUG